rnacentral:rRNA from 1 species
GGUUAAGCGACUAAGCGUACACGGUGGAUGCCCUGGCAGUCAGAGGCGAUGAAGGACGUGCUAAUCUGCGAAAAGCGCCGGCGAGGUGAUAUGAACCCUUGACCCGGCGAUGUCCGAAUGGGGAAACCCAGUGUGUUCCGACACACUAUCGUUAACUGAAUACAUAGGUUAACGAGGCGAACCGGGGGAACUGAAACAUCUAAGUACCCCGAGGAAAAGAAAUCAACCGAGAUUCCCCCAGUAGCGGCGAGCGAACGGGGAGCAGCCCGGAGUCUGAAUCAGCUUGUGUGUUAGUGGAACGGUCUGGAAAGUCCGACGGUACAGGGUGAUAGUCCCGUACACGAAAACACACUUGCUGUGAACUCGAAGAGUAGGGCGGGACACGUGGUAUCCUGUCUGAAUAUGGGGGGACCAUCCUCCAAGGCUAAAUACUCCUGACUGACCGAUAGUGAACCAGUACCGUGAGGGAAAGGCGAAAAGAACCCCGGCGAGGGGAGUGAAAAAGAACCUGAAACCGUGUACGUACAAGCAGUGGGAGCACCUUCGGGUGUGACUGCGUACCUUUUGUAUAAUGGGUCAGCGACUUAUAUUCUGUAGCAAGGUUAACCGUAUAGGGGAGCCGAAGGGAAACCGAGUCUUAACUGGGCGUUAAGUUGCAGGGUAUAGACCCGAAACCCGGUGAUCUAGCCAUGGGCAGGUUGAAGGUUGGGUAACACUAACUGGAGGACCGAACCGACUAAUGUUGAAAAAUUAGCGGAUGACCUGUGGCUGGGGGUGAAAGGCCAAUCAAACCGGGAGAUAGCUGGUUCUCCCCGAAAGCUAUUUAGGUAGCGCCUCGUGAACUCAUCUUCGGGGGUAGAGCACUGUUUCGGCUAGGGGGCCAUCCCGGCUUACCAACCCGAUGCAAACUACGAAUACCGAAGAAUGUUAUCACGGGAGACACACGGCGGGUGCUAACGUCCGUCGUGAAGAGGGAAACAACCCAGACCGCCAGCUAAGGUCCCAAAGUCAUGGUUAAGUGGGAAACGAUGUGGGAAGGCACAGACAGCCAGGAUGUUGGCUUAGAAGCAGCCAUCAUUUAAAGAAAGCGUAAUAGCUCACUGGUCGAGUCGGCCUGCGCGGAAGAUGUAACGGGGCUAAACCAUGCACCGAAGCUGCGGCAGCGACGCUUAUGCGUUGUUGGGUAGGGGAGCGUUCUGUAAGCCGUUGAAGGUGUGCUGUGAGGCAUGCUGGAGGUAUCAGAAGUGCGAAUGCUGACAUAAGUAACGAUAAAGCGGGUGAAAAGCCCGCUCGCCGGAAGACCAAGGGUUCCUGUCCAACGUUAAUCGGGGCAGGGUGAGUCGACCCCUAAGGCGAGGCCGAAAGGCGUAGUCGAUGGGAAACAGGUUAAUAUUCCUGUACUUGGUGUUACUGCGAAGGGGGGACGGAGAAGGCUAUGUCAGCCGGGCGACGGUUGUCCCGGUUUAAGCAUGUAGGCGGAGGUUCCAGGUAAAUCCGGUACCUUUUAACGCUGAGGUGUGAUGACGAGGCACUACGGUGCUGAAGUGAUAAAUGCCCUGCUUCCAGGAAAAGCCUCUAAGCAUCAGGUAACACGAAAUCGUACCCCAAACCGACACAGGUGGUCAGGUAGAGAAUACCAAGGCGCUUGAGAGAACUCGGGUGAAGGAACUAGGCAAAAUGGUGCCGUAACUUCGGGAGAAGGCACGCUGAUAUGUAGGUGAAGUCCCUGCGGACGGAGCUGAAAUCAGUCGAAGAUACCAGCUGGCUGCAACUGUUUAUUAAAAACACAGCACUGUGCAAACACGAAAGUGGACGUAUACGGUGUGACGCCUGCCCGGUGCCGGAAGGUUAAUUGAUGGGGUUAGCGGCAACGCGAAGCUCUUGAUCGAAGCCCCGGUAAACGGCGGCCGUAACUAUAACGGUCCUAAGGUAGCGAAAUUCCUUGUCGGGUAAGUUCCGACCUGCACGAAUGGCGUAAUGAUGGCCAGGCUGUCUCCACCCGAGACUCAGUGAAAUUGAACUCGCUGUGAAGAUGCAGUGUACCCGCGGCAAGACGGAAAGACCCCGUGAACCUUUACUAUAGCUUGACACUGAACACUGGUCCUUGAUGUGUAGGAUAGGUGGGAGGCUUUGAAGCGUGGACGCCAGUCUGCGUGGAGCCGCCCUUGAAAUACCACCCUUUAAUGGCUGGUGUUCUAACGUAGACCCGUGAUCCGGGUUGCGGACAGUGUCUGGUGGGUAGUUUGACUGGGGCGGUCUCCUCCCAAAGAGUAACGGAGGAGCACGAAGGUUGGCUAAUCCUGGUCGGACAUCAGGAGGUUAGUGCAAUGGCAUAAGCCAGCUUGACUGCGAGCGUGACGGCGCGAGCAGGUGCGAAAGCAGGUCAUAGUGAUCCGGUGGUUCUGAAUGGAAGGGCCAUCGCUCAACGGAUAAAAGGUACUCCGGGGAUAACAGGCUGAUACCGCCCAAGAGUUCAUAUCGACGGCGGUGUUUGGCACCUCGAUGUCGGCUCAUCACAUCCUGGGGCUGAAGUAGGUCCCAAGGGUAUGGCUGUUCGCCAUUUAAAGUGGUACGCGAGCUGGGUUUAGAACGUCGUGAGACAGUUCGGUCCCUAUCUGCCGUGGGCGCUGGAGAAUUGAGGGGGGCUGCUCCUAGUACGAGAGGACCGGAGUGGACGCAUCACUGGUGUUCGGGUUGUCAUGCCAAUGGCACUGCCCGGUAGCUAAAUGCGGAAGAGAUAAGUGCUGAAAGCAUCUAAGCACGAAACUUGCCCCGAGAUGAGUUCUCCCUGAGACCUUGAGUCUCCUGAAGGAACGUUGAAGACGACGACGUUGAUAGGUCGGGUGUGUAAGCGCAGCGAUGCGUUGAGCUAACCGAUACUAAUGAACCGUGAGGCUUAACCUU